GGGCGGCUGGUGUAGUUGGUUAUCACAUCUCGUUAGCAAAGUUAUUCUUUCAAUCGAGAAGGGGUUAGGUUCAAUUCCUAGGCUGUCUA